rnacentral:lncRNA from 1 species
UCUUUCCUUGGAUAUUUCUUUUAUAAGAGCCCAUUAGAAGCUUGAGGCCCAUAACUUCUUUCUCUUAUACACCUCCAUUAACCGUGCAAAUCGACGCCGUCAACUUCAACCUAAAUCCCACAGCCUCCCAAAAUACGCCUCUGUAACGUUAAAGAUCAACAUUCAAUCGACGUAAUUGUGAUCACCAUUAACGACAUUUAAAC